AUCCGGGCAACCUGGGGGAUCCAAGUGGCUGUCUUUACCUUCGUAAACGCGGAAGGUGUAAACAUAACCACUGGCACUUUCACAAAGUUUAUACAACUUUAUCCCAUACCGGGAUCUUUUGGCCGGGAUAUAUUGUUUAAACCCCAGUCUGCCCUUGCAUUUCAUUAGAGACUCAUCUAAACAAAUAUUUUUUUGUGGGGUGUACACUGAGCCAAACUGUUGAAGUGGGAAAUAAGGGGGCGAAUCUUAUAGAGAUUAUCUCUUGGGGGGCACUUCGAAUUGUCGCUGAAGUGUAAAAAGCGAAGCAUUGCUUCAUAUCUGGACCUGUUCAUGGUCUGGGAGUAAAUAGGGGUGCUGCAUACAGGAUUUUUGGACCAGUACAUCCUAAAGCUGGGUUUUUUAAUAAUGCCCAUUAGCAACUUAACCUCUGAGGGUACAAAAAAAAAAUUAGAUCACAGUUAAAUACUGUGAUCAGUAUACUGAUCACUGCAGGCAGUGAUCAAAAGGACAAGGAAAGGGUCAACACUGUUUUAAAAGUAUUAAAAUCACUUUUAAAACACAGAUACACUUUAUACUAAAUUGACACACAAUGUUUCAGCACAGAUCCGUCUCUCUCCACUUCUCAAACCACACAGAGGUGGGGGGAGGAGGAUCAGGAAUCCCAGCAGCACUGUGAUCGCUGUGACUGGCUGUCACAGCGAUCACAUGUGCUGGGACAGCUCUAUUGGCGGUUGCUGGUCUGCCUCUGACAUCGAGGCACCCAGCAACAGCGUUAACCCCACGAUCGCGGCGAUCUGGCGUUAACGUUAGUAAAUGACAGAGAUUUUCCAUCAACGGUCCUUAACGCACGGACAAGCUUGAUGGAAAAUCUCCGUCGUCGGCAAGGGGAUAAUCGAGUUAAGAUUCAAACUUAUUUCUAUAAUUGACUAGUUAUGUCUGAUAGAAGUUCCUGCUAAUACUUUAUUUUGUUCGAGACUGAACAUUGUUGUUAUCCUACAGUAAGAAUGUACUCAAUGCAUUUUGUGGUUAAAUAUCAGAGUUUAUACUGCUUUUAUGUGUAGAUUUCCCCCAUGCUGAUACAUACUUGGACCUGGAGUAGUAGGAGUUAACAGCUGUCUCUAAGAGUGAAAUUCUGUAUCUUGGUCAGUAUGUGAUACCACUUUGAUUGUAUACCGAUCGCUCCGGUCCAGUAUGUAUUCUCUGCUUGGGGAAAACAUUUUGUUAUGUUUUGUAUAUAUGUAAAUAGUUGAGUUUGUUCACUUUAGGUAUGUUCAAUGGUUUUAUUGAAUACUGCAUAUAUAAUUAAUUAAACACUUUAGUAAUUGGUACCAUAUGUUAUACUCACGAUGCAUGUGAUGUAAUUGAACCUCGUUAGUGUUCCUUUACCCUCCAAUCAACAGUUCACAGUGUAUAUUUAAAUGCAAUGAGUCAAAUUGGUAGAUUGUCUUGAAAAAAGUUCCUAGUGGAUUGAAAAGUCGACACUAUGUAAUCAACUUUUGAAGCUUGAAUAAAUGGCACAUUUUUGGCAACAGUAUCGAGUCCUGUG